GUCAGUCUAACAGUUGCUUCACUGUUGACAAGCUGCAUUUCAGAAGCACAAACCAGAGCAAUAAUUGACUAACCCACAUUUUAUUUUUUUCUCCCCAGCGAAUGCCUAUAUGACUGGGAUUCAAAGAAUUUGGUGUGCUGGCUGAAUCAUCAGUUUCUCCCACAGUGAUGGCUAUCACAAUGCAGGUUUUCUGAACUAUUACAACACUGCCUCACAACCAAAGCAGAGUCCUCAGCUGGAGCAUACAGCUAGACUAAGACAUUAUUACUACUUGAAAGAUCAUUAAAACAAAACUCUCCACACUGAAAUUUGACCUACCAAGAAAAACAGCUCUUAAGGAUUUAUGAGGUCGUG
rnacentral:lncRNA from 1 species